rnacentral:rRNA from 1 species
GACGAACUGAGCGAACGUUGUUCGGAAUCACUGGGCUUAAAGGGCGCGUAGGCGGGUGCUCAAGUCCGGGGUGAAAUCCUCCAGCUCAACUGGAGAACUGCCUCGGAUACUGGGUGUCUCGAGGGUGGUAGGGGUAUGCGGAACUAUCGGUGGAGCGGUGAAAUGCGUUGAUAUCGAUAGGAACUCCGGUGGCGAAGGCGGCAUACUGGACCACAUCUGACGCUGAGGCGCGAAAGCCAGGGGAGCAAACGGG